AUGCACGCUGGCGGCGUGCUUCACCCCUGCCAGUCGCACGAUGAAGCCCAGCUUGCUGGGUGGAUUAGUGGCGAACGGGUGAGUAACACGUGAGUAACCUGCCCUUGACUCUGGGAUAAGCCUGGGAAACUGGGUCUAAUACUGGAUAUGACUUCUCAUCGCAUGGUGGGGGGUGGAAAGAUUUAUUGGUCUUGGAUGGACUCGCGGCCUAUCAGCUUGUUGGUGAGGUAAUGGCUCACCAAGGCGACGACGGGUAGCCGGCCUGAGAGGGUGACCGGCCACACUGGGACUGAGACACGGCCCAGACUCCUACGGGAGGCAGCAGUGGGGAAUAUUGCACAAUGGGCGCAAGCCUGAUGCAGCGACGCCGCGUGAGGGAUGACGGCCUUCGGGUUGUAAACCUCUUUCAGUAGGGAAGAAGCGAGAGUGACGGUACCUGCAGAAGAAGCGCCGGCUAACUACGUG
rnacentral:rRNA from 1 species